AUUGAACGCUGGCGGCAGGCCUAACACAUGCAAGUCGAACGAGUGGCGGACGGGUGAGUAAUGUCUGGGGAACUGCCCGAUGGAGGGGGAUAACUACUGGAAACGGUAGCUAAUACCGCAUACUAUCGGAUGUACCCAUAUGGGAUUAGCUAGUAGGUGGGGUAACGGCUCACCUAGGCGACGAUCCCUAGCUGGUCUGAGAGGAUGACCAGCCAAACGGGAACUGAGACACGGUCCAGACUCCUACGGGAGGCAGCAGUGGGGAAUAUUGCACAAUGGGCGCAAGCCUGAUGCAGCCAUGCCGCGUGUAUGAAGAAGGCCGUCGGGUUGUAAAGUACUUUCAGCGAGGAGGAGUUACCCGCAGAAGAAGCACCGGCUAACUCCGUGCCAGCAGCCGCGGUAAUUC
rnacentral:rRNA from 1 species